GUUGCUAAAUUCUUUUGUAACCCCAUGGACUAUAGCCCGCCAGGCUCCUCGGUCCAUGUGAUUUUUCAGGCAAGAACACUGGAGUGGGUUGCUGUUUCCCUUUUCAAGGGGUCUUCCGAGCCCAGGAAUUGAACCUGAGUCUCCUGCACUGGCAGGUGGAUUCUUCACCACUGGGCCACCUGAGAAGGCCAGCCCUCAGACAACCUGUAAAAAUGCCCUUGAGGGAGAGAUGUCACCAGGCUUUAUAUGAAGCUCAGAAAGAGCCUCUCCACUGAGAUCACACAAAUCCCAGGAGAGGACCAGGAUCCUGCCAAGGGAUUCAUGAGACCCUGGAGCUGGCAAAGGUGGAGGAGAGGAGCAUCCCACACCCUUCAGACAAGGAGCUGGACAAGCUGUGAUUUCAUCUCAAAUAUUUCCUCACAUCCCACCAAGCAGAAGAAAAUGAAAAAUCACUCUCCCUCCUACCUAUGUGCACACAAAAGGAAAAACAAGUUUUUUAAGAAAAAGGAAACACUGGGAGCAUUUUUGAAGGUAAAAGGCUGUUUAUUGCUGCCAAAGUGCUGACUUUUUUUUUUUUUUACUCCUGCCUCUGGCAACUGUAUGAGAAUCAGAGACUUCAGUGGAGAAGAAAUGCAUUCACUUGUCAUCAAAUAAAACCUCUGUGUUCCACA
ensembl:lncRNA